UGGCUCAGUGGUUAAGAGCACUGACUGUUCUUCCAGAGGGCCUGGGUUCAAUUCCCAG
rnacentral:tRNA from 1 species